rnacentral:misc_RNA from 1 species
UUUCCGUAGGUGAACCUGCGGAAGGAUCAUUACAGAGUUCAUGCCCUCACGGGUAGAGCUCCCACCCUUGAAUAUUUAUACCUUAGUUGCUUUGGCAGGCCGUCGAAACACCAUGGGCUCCGGCUUAUGCGUGCCUGCCAGAGGAAACAAAUUCUGUUUUUAGUGAUGUCUGAGUACUAUAUAAUAGUUAAAACUUUCAACAACGGAUCUCUUGGUUCUG